CUGUUCCCGCCCCCGACCGGAGCCUUUCGGGUGGCUCCGCCCACAGCGGGCGUUUCCUCAAGCCACGCCUGCGCAGGUCGUCGGGGGAGACUGAUGAAGAGACGACUAUCCCCAGACCGUAUUUUAACUACUAUGGCGCUGUGUAAGAAGCAACCUGAGAAGUGUGGAUGAAAAGCUACAGCUUCCCUGCUGAAAUACCUUAGUGAGAAUGCAUAAAAACCAACUCUAAAUGAUGCACAAAGCCACCGAGAGUGACAUUCACAAUGAGCAUUUACCCAGCAUUUUGUGCUGGCAUCUUCCAGGAUGUACAAGCAUCCCAACAUAGUCUCAGAUUCUUGGUCCCUGGCACUGGCAGAGCUGAAAUGGUCAUAUUCCCACUGGCCUCUGGUUACAUGAUCCAUGCUGCCUUCUGUAGUCACAUAUUAUUUGUGAUAACAAACAAGACUGGACUGGAUCCUGAAUUCUUUUAGUGCACUACCUCCAGUAUCUAGCUUCAACUCUUCAACUAAGAGCAAAAAUGCUAAGCUGGACAACUUGAUAGAAAUUUCAAGGGACAAGUCUCAUGUGUGAUGUGCGUGCCAUACAGAGAGUUCACCAGAAUAUCUAACGCCACAACCAGGGACAUUCAAACUGCAAACCAGGUUGAGAAUUUGCUAACUGCAUGCCGUGGACAGCUUUUCCCAAGGCCAUCAGACGAAGACUUCUUAUGAUAUUCUUACCCCUCUUAAUUUUUCCUUGCUUAUGCCUACUUCUUUCGCUUGGCAGAAUAAGGCUAUGGUUAAAGUUUCACAAUCCUUAGUUUUUGUGAGUAAUCUGACAGCAUGUUGAAUCUGUUAUGUCAAAUCUGAAUCUUUAAAAAACCUGAGAUCCUUUAGUCCACCUAGUGGGUAACUUCAGCAACAUCCCUAAUAUCCCUAAUGCAACUGUUUGUUCAAAUUGUACUAGUGAUCUCUUUUAUAGAGUUAGUACUGUCUGUUUUAAUUUAACCCAUUCCUGGAAUGCUAUAUGAUAGAAUUGCUACCGACUAAAUGAAUAGGGAGAAAUCUGUGCAAUUGCUAAUACUUCUUGUUACCCAUAGAUAUAAUGAGUAUCCGGCCUGGCUCAUUCUUUGAUCUAUUUAAUUUCAGUUGGUUUAGUUUAUGGGGAUCCUAGAUAAAGGAGCAUACUCCAAACUCCUGGCAUUAUCCUUUUGAUAGUCAUAAUAGUAGUUUCUCUGGUACACUAUAUCCUCUCGAAAAGUUUUAAAGGUUGCACACAGCCAUUCAUCAAACACCAAAGAGUCUCUUUUCUGCUGGAAUGACAAAAACUCAAAUAAAUGCAUGAUGAUGAGUACACCAUAACCUAUGAAUGACUUGUAGAGACCAGAAACCCAGCAUGAUAAUAAGAGUAGCAUUAAUGCCCUUAGUUUUGGUCAUGCACUCACCCAGGUGAAAGCAUGACUGAAAGGGGAAAAUUGUUAAAUACAAAAUAUAGGAGGCCAUUGUUUUGGACUAAGCUUCUGCACUAGGCCCCACAGCUCCUGCAUUAGGCCCCAACAGAUUUGACUAAAAAUCAAAAUGGAGUUAUCCAUGCUGAAGUUCCACAUCACCAAACUGAAACUAAGUUGUUAUAUAACAUUCCAAGAAAGCAGGAGAGAGAGAUAGCAGCCAAUUUCCCAAAUAGGCCAAUUUCAAUCUUCAAUCAGUAGGAUAAUAGUUUCCUCUGUUUUAAUCCUUAAAAGUAACCUGAUGCUAACCAAUCUUUCUAUUUUUCUGCCUCCCUGUCCCUGCCUUUCAAGGAAAGUAACUUUGAAAUAAUCAAUCUGUUUUUUGUUCUUCAUUUUUGCUUUCCUUAGCCCUUUCUGUCUAUAAAACCAACCCCUUCUGUUCAACUCACUGGCAAAUUUAUUGUAUUUUAUGGCAUAAAAUGUUGCCUGAUUCUAGAAUUGCAAUAAAGCCAACCGUGAUCUUU
rnacentral:lncRNA from 10 species